rnacentral:rRNA from 1 species
CAGUAGCCGCGGGAAUACGAAGGGUGCAAGCGUUACUCGGAAUUACUGGGCGUAAAGCGUGCGUAGGCGGCUAAUUGAGUCGGAUGUGAAAUCCCCGAGCUUAACUUGGGAAUUGCAUUCGAUACUGGUUAGCUAGAGUGUGGGAGGGGAUGGUAGAAUUCCAGGUGUAGCGGUGAAAUGCGUAGAGAUCUGGAGGAAUACCGAUGGCGAAGGCAGUUAUCUGGCCUAACACUGACGCUGAGGUACGAAAGCAUGGGGAGCAAACAGGAUUAGAUACCCCAGUAGUCCCUGUCUCUUAUAC